rnacentral:lncRNA from 1 species
UUAUCUAAGGAUCUCAACUGGUUAAAGUACAGACAUUUUAGUGAAUAAGAGAAUAAUACCCCUUCCUGCAUGGCCUCAUGCAAAACAUCCCCGCUCCAUUUACCAUUUUAAUUGCUCUCUUGAAUUAGAGACAUUAAUGAGAAGCUGGUCAUCUAUUCAUCUCUUCAAUACUUGAAGAGCAUGGGGGAGGUCCUCCACGUGUCUGCUUCUGCUUCGUAUUGUAUGAAUUGCAUUUUAGGCACUUGUGUGCUACAAUAUGGAAGUUUACUUCAGAUGUUUCCCC